UUCCUUCUCACCUCAUAGCAAUGGCGACAGAUUCUGAGUCUCCAGGGCAGGAACGGUGUCUUUACAUGACCUGGCACUAAGGAUCCUGAAAUCUCAGGAUGAAGCUAAAAAGGAGAGAAUCCCCAAGUCUCAGGGUAAGGAAACUUACUGACACCCUCAACAAAAUCAAACUCAGAUCCACUAAGGUGGGUGGUAGAGGAAAAAUUCUCACGGGGGUGUAGAAGGGAUGCAGCUUUCCUUGCCCGUGGUGGGCCCAGUGAGAUCAGGGAGAAAUCUCUGGGAGAAGGUGAAUAUUGGGGGACAGAAACAAGAGAGCCAGCCACCCUUCCUAUGCAGACAGUGUCCAUGUCCCUGCUUGGAGGAAGUGGGUUUGAUUUUAUUGAGGAAGCCAACACGUUUCCUUCUGUCCAGUGUGGCCUCUGUGUUGUUCAUAUUAUUGGUUUCCAGGAUGUGAAAAUGUCAUCCUAGGACAGAGCCUGGAAAAGAAUGGACUGAAUGCCUCCUUAGAGAGCUUUAGCCAACUAUCGAAGAAAGUGGGUUUCACCUUCCCUUCAGACUCAAAAAUCAUAUGCUGGGCUUCCCUGGUGGCGCAGUGGUUAAGAAUCCUCCUGCCAAUGCAGGGG